rnacentral:lncRNA from 1 species
CUCUCCCUUCUCUUUCUCCAUUGGACAUCCCACACGUCCUUCACAUUUGGGCAUCCUUCUUCUUCACGCCCAAGGCUGGUUGGGUCUCCCCUCCUUGCUGGUUUCUGGUGUUUGAUAGUAGCACAAAUCAAGGAAAAAAGGUUAGAAAAGAGGAGAAAAAGAAGAUCAAGAAAAGAAAUCAAGUGUGAAUCGUGAUCCGGGCUUUGUUCAAAUUCAGUAGGCAGAAUUUUCUUAGAAAAAAAAAUUCAACUUGAAGAGGGCUGAUCCAGACUGAUCCCAAGUGGAUACCCAUAGAGGCCAGAUAUUUAUGCGGCUAGAAAAAAAUUUCUUCUCUUUCAGAUCC